rnacentral:rRNA from 1 species
UACGUAGGGUGCGAGCGUUAAUCGGAAUUACUGGGCGUAAAGCGUGCGCAGGUGGUUCGUUAAGUCAGAUGUGAAAGCCCCGGGCUCAACCUGGGAACUGCAUUUGAAACUGGCGGGCUUGAGUAUGGCAGAGGGGGGUGGAAUUCCGCGUGUAGCAGUGAAAUGCGUAGAGAUGUGGAGGAACACCGAUGGCGAAGGCAGCCCCCUGGGCCAAUACUGACGCUCAGGCACGAAAGCGUGGGGAGCAAACAGG